CUAUACUUCAGUAUUACAAGCAUUGCAGGACAUUAUUCGGUACUGAAAGACUGACAGUGGUAACGCAUGUGAGAUGAAGUCAGCUUGUCUUUGAUCUAUAGUAACUUUCCAGCUGUUUAAAUUCUGUUUUUCCUCAAAAGUUUUUAACUAUACAAAUAAAACAUCCAACAGAACUUUCUUCAAGUUAUUAACUUGUCAGGUUACACAUGAUAACAAGUAGGAUUUAAAACAUGGUACUGCUUAGGCCUAACUCUUACUGUGCAACUACUGUGGUUCUGUGACACCCAGGUACCAACCAGCUCAGUGCAGGUGGCAGAGGAUUACCUAUGGCUGCUUUACAGCUUUCAGGCUCCUAUCCUCAAAUCAACUGGCUCCCAAUUUCAUCACACAGCAGGUGUUGGCUUGAAAGUCCCAAUUCACCUUCAGCAUUCCUGUGAAGGAAAACUUUUCC
ensembl:lncRNA